UCCAAUUGGCGUAAUAUACUGGUCCCAAAACCAAAAUGGAAAAAAAAUCACAAGCCUUAAGAACAAUACUUUGAAAGAAGAACUGCUUAAAGAUCUGUCUGGCCACUGCCUGAGGGUGUGAGGGAAGUCUCUUCACACACAAAAGAAAUCAAGCAAGAAUUCUGUCUCAGCAUUUGUGCAAGGGAGCAAACUGGACCACAGGUUCCUCUUCUCCCAGCUGUUGUGUUCUCUGGGCUUUCUCUCUCUCUCAAAUACAAAGAUGCUUCACUGACAUGAAAGACAUUCUCCUGAGCCCUGCGAGAUACUGAAUCCCACUACACUAUCGAGGCAUAUCAUGGAAAGCUCUUGGAAGGAAUAUGAACUUUUGAUUAAAAUUUUACAGCAUGCAGGAAAUCUACUACAUUAAGUAUUUAAGCACUGUAGAAAUCAGGAGAGCAGCUUAUAUUAAUCUUGGUACAAACUAUACAAUUUAUGGAAGAUGACUGGAUACUCUUAUUUAAAAAAAAAAAAGGGAGCUAGGUCCAGGUGGCAUCCUGAAAUCUGAAAGGACCCGAUCCCUAGCCCAUUGAAGCCAUCAGAAAGAUUCCCAUUGACUUCAGGGAGCUCUGGAUCAGGCCCUAUAUGGACAAGAUGGCAGGACUCUACCGGCAUUGUCUAGCCCCUUCGUACGAGCAGUGAAAGAAAAGGAGGCUGGACCGAUGAAAAAUAGAACCAAGAGAUGCAGCCUGUAGCAGACAUGAAAUAACAGAAGCAUCUACCAGAAUGUUAAGUAGAAUUUCCUUGCCAAAUUCCUGUGUGGUGAUUACAUGCUCUGUCCCUGCAUAUAGUUAUGUCAAUACUUUCCCAUUUCCUCUCCUACUCAGUGGUCUCAUAUUCUCCUGUUAAACACCCCCUGCCUUUCACCACAGAGCUAUCUGCAUUUCAGAGGCAGGUGGCAUGAUUCCUGUAUGUACAUAUGAUUGAUUUAUCCAUACCCAGACAGUUUGUUUGAUCUCGCUUCUCUCAACUCUGCCUUUCAAAACAGAUUUGCUUCUGCUUGCUUGUCUCUCUGCUGCCCAUUGGCGGCGGCUUUCUCCUCUCUUCAACACUUUCCUUAAACCAGUGGGACUCACAUGCACAUAUCAGAGGGCAGAAUCUGGCCUGUUGUCCUGCCUUUCCUAUGUUCCCUCUCCUUGCCUCCCCUCUGGUGCAGUACAACUACCUGAUAUAUCCUGAUUCAUUUGCAUGGCAUCUAAAUAGCUCCUUUCCUCCUACAUCUAUACUACAGUUCCCAUGGUUGAUGUAUUUUUAAGUCUUUGACUCAGUCUCACUGUUGACCUUGCCCGUGGCUGGUUUGUCUCUCUUUGGGGCACCUGGAUUCAAAUAUGUGAUGAAAAACACCUUGCUGCUAACAAAGGAAAUGAUUCCCAGGUGAGCUCUCAACAGGUAAGAAAAGGGCCAUUCAAAGUGACAUUUGAUGCCACUGUACGGGAACAGAGGAUAGUAUGUUACUUAGUAGGCAAAGUGUUUUUUGAGUAGGUGAAGUGGUUUUUGAGGUUACACUUUUGUGGAGGACAUUGGUUACAAACAUUUACGCCGUCUCUGUUUCAACACAGUUCCAGUGGUUAUUAAAACAAGGUAUUUAAUAACUGAAUAAACCAAUGAUACUAAAAUAGCUAUCACGUGAUACGCACGUCACGGUUCUUUCCUAGAGAAACAGUAAAUGGUAUCCUAGUGCUCAAUGAACAGCCGCUUUCAGUUGUCAGUGGGGCUCAUUGGUGCAAAGCUGGCAUUUGGACAACCGAUUUUCCUACGGAAUUCAGUAAGUCUUAGGUCUGACUAAAAUGUAAGGGCCUGAUCCGAAACCCAGUCAUGUCAAUGGAAGAACUCACAUUGGUUUUAAUAAGCUUUAGAUCAGGCUCUUAGUUAAGGAAUUGUGUGGGAGUCUGAUGCAAAGCCAGCUGAGAAUGUGGGUCUUUCCAUUGACUUCCAGGAGCUUUGGAUCAACUCAAAUAUGCUUUCUGCAGCCAUUAUGCCCAUGGACCAGCUGCGGGAUUGGUCCUUGAAUGUGACAUUCACCCUUGUGCAGAGAACACACACAAGAUUUAUGUGCCACUUAAGAGGUCAGUACUUAAGCAGGUACCUCACUUUAAGCACACAAGUGGUCCUAUUGAAAUCAAUGGGAUUGUUCACAUGCUUGAAAUUAGUCACAUGCUCAAAUACCAGGCUGAAUUAGGGCCUAUGGGCCAGAAUUUUAAAGCUGUUUUGGUGCCUAAGGAUGCAGGUAGGAACCUAACUAACUCUCGUUGAUUCAAUGGGAGUUAGCCACAUAUGUGCCUAGCAGAUGCAGCCUCUAGCAUGUUAGCUGAUUGCUCCUAAUCCAUAUUCAGGCAUCUAAGUUGCCUAAUUUUCAGAGAUGCUGGGCACCCAGGACUGUGGAGCUACCUGUCUGUAAGUGAGAUCAGAAUUUACCCAGUAUAUUUAACAUUCCUUUUUCUAAAUAUUUGUUUGUCCCACUCAAUACCCAAGAGGAAAAGAAAAAAGAGAGAGAGGAAAAGAAUGAAGCAGAAAAUACGUGUUGUAAGUAGAGUGACCAGACAGCAAGUGUGAAAAAUCAGUACAGGGGUGGAGGGUAAU